UACGGAGGGUGCAAGCGUUAUCCGGAUUCACUGGGUUUAAAGGGUGCGUAGGUGGGCUGGUAAGUCAGUUGUGAAAUCUCUGGGCUUAACCCAGAAAGGUCAACUGAUACUGCGGGGCUAGAGUGCAGAAGGGGCAACUGGAAUUCUCGGUGUAGCGGUGAAAUGCGUAGAUAUCGAGAGGAACACCUGCGGCGAAAGCGACUUCCUGGACCAAUACUGACGCUCAUGUGCGAAAGCGUGGGGAGCAAACAGG
rnacentral:rRNA from 1 species